UGUAGAUCCCUACUGUUUUUUAUUAGAAGUACCUUAUUUUACAACCUUUGUUUGUAGAGAGAAACAAUGUGAAAAGGUGUUUAUAUACAACGAUAUUGCUUUUAAAAAACUACUUUUAAACAAGUAUAGAAAUUAAUAAUGAAACAGAAAACGUCUAAUCCGAUCUAAUAAAGUGAGACCAAUAAAACAUCAGUCCUCUCAGCUCCUCGACAAUAAGGCUAAUUGGAAGUACAUAAUCAUUUUAGUACAUAAUCAUUUUAGCAAAAUAAGACUCUUAAACAAGUAGAUCUAAAUAAGACAAACAUAUUUACAGGUAGAUAAUGGGGUUGAUGAAAUGCUCAUAUAGGAGACUGGAGUGUUGAAGGGUAUGAAAUGUCAUAAAACAGAAAUGCAAAAAACAUACAAAAAAUAAUCAUCAGUGCCCCAAAAACAGAGAAAACACCUUUAACAUGCUUUUAAAUGGCAAUUUCUGAGAAUGUCUGAUACUAGCAGAGUACCUGUGCCUCAAGAAACAACCCAUGAAGUAAGGAAAGACACUGAAAAUGUGACUGAUAACCCAACGCAGCUGUUUGACCAAUCUUAAACUCGGGGGGGCCCUGAAGAUGAGUUCUUGGGAGAGGAGAACGCCUAUAAUCUUUUUCUUCUUUUUAAUUUAAUCUGGGAGGGGCAGCACUACAUAGCAGCGUUCCUGCUCCAGGAUCCAGGGUUAUCAUCUCCAAUUAUACAGACGACCUCUCCCUCCCAGCUCUUAAGGAGAGGGGGGGGGGGGGGGGGGGGGGGUGAACCACUGCUAAAGAUGCAGGGGGAGCAGACACACGCUCUCUCCUGUCCCUGCAUGCCUUAUAACGCCUCCCUGAGGAGUGACAGGGCACUAGCAGCUCCGGCCCUCCCCAGCCACAGGACCUCCCCACGCGGGCAGACCUCCAGCCGAACACAGCCUCCCAAACACCCGCAUGUGGAGGGGUGGGGAAAAAAAACAACACCUGCUGGGGGAACAUUUUGUGGCAUUGCACACACUAGGGUGAUUUGCGAAAGGAACGCUGGAUGUAAAAACGAGGCAUCAAACAUAACGUCAGACAUCAGAUAUUAUAAACUUGCGGUUGCUGAGGCCAGAUAAAGCCUCCGAGGGGGAGAGAGAAAGCACAGGCACAGUGCGGGGAGGGGGGG
ensembl:lncRNA